rnacentral:lncRNA from 1 species
GAUGAUUAUUAAAUAGGGUGUUCUGGUUUCUGUUAUUUUCUUCUCGCUUUGGGGUUGUGUAUGUGAUAAACUGGAUUUAACACUUUCUGAACUGAGAGUGAACCUAGAAAUUCUUGGCUAGGAUGUUUGGGAUGAUUUUAUAAGAGAAAGAGGAAGGAGAGAGAAGUAAAAUAAAGUAGGUGUGAUGACGAAAAGAAAACUGUGAAUGAGGGUGGUGCGUUAUAGGUCCUAUGUCUUAAAUGAAGUGAGGGAAAAAAAUAUAAGUUGGGGUGCUUAGCUUCGAGUUAGUGGGGAAAAAGCUUUGGUCGAGAAUAAGGUGUGAUUGUGUUAAAAAUAUAUAAGAUAGAGAGUGGUGGUAGUAAAGGCUACGUAAAUUUAGAGAGAGGAAGGAAUGAGUUGAGGUUUGGAAGAGUAAACUAGUGUGUGGGUGCUCUUGAAUGUUGGCCUUAUGGAGAGUGACGUGAAGUUUGGGGUACAUGCAGAGGUUUCACAAUUGUUUUAUCUGCUACGUGAAUAAGAAAAAAGAAAGAGAUAAUUAAUGAAUGACAGAGAUAAUUAAUGAAUGACAUAUCAGCAUAAAUGGUAGAAAGCCAGGAAUAUUAUUCUUUAGUUAUUUUAGGUUAGUAGAAGGUUAAUGGGUGAGAGAGAGAAAUUGUUUGGAUGAUGUGAAAUAAAACAUACGUGUGCAUGAGGGAAUAAGUUAGGUCUUAAGUAU